rnacentral:rRNA from 1 species
CUACGGGUCGCUGCAGUGAGGAAUAUUGCACAAUGGAGGAAACUCUGAUGCAGCAACGCCGCGUGGAGGAUGACGCAUUUCGGUGUGUAAACUCCUUUUAUGAGUCAAGAAAAUGACGGUAGCUCAUGAAUAAGCACCCGCUAACUCCGUGCCAGCAGCCGCGGUAAUACGGAGGGUGCAAGCGUUACUCGGAAUCACUGGGCGUAAAGGACGCGUAGGCGGGAUAUCAAGUCAGGUGUGAAAUCCUACAGCUUAACUGUAGAACUGCACUUGAAACUGGUAACCUAGAGUAUGGGAGGGGGAGAUGGAAUUAGUGGUGUAGGGGUAAAAUCCGUAGAUAUCACUAGGAAUACCUAAAGCGAAGGCGAUCUCCUGGAACAUAACUGACGCUAAGGCGUGAAAGCGUGGGGAGCAAACAGGAUUAGAUACCCUUGUAGUC